rnacentral:rRNA from 1 species
GACGAACCGAGCGAACGUUGUUCGGAAUCACUGGGCUUAAAGGGCGCGUAGGCGGGCUGUCAAGUUUGGGGUGAAAUCCCACGGCUCAACCGUGGAACUGCCUCAAAUACUGACGGUCUCGAGGGAGGUAGGGGCGAGCGGAACUGAUGGUGGAGCGGUGAAAUGCGUUGAUAUCAUCAGGAACUCCGGUGGCGAAGGCGGCUCGCUGGACCUUUUCUGACGCUGAGGCGCGAAAGCUAGGGGAG